AGGGGAAUAGCUGGGAAAAAUGGUGGUUGCAUUCCCAGUUUUCCAAGGAAUCUCCAUACUGCUUUCCAAAUUGGCUGCACCAAUUUGCAGUCCCACCAGCAAU
rnacentral:pre_miRNA from 1 species